UACGUAGGGGGCUAGCGUUGUCCGGAAUCAUUGGGCGAAAGAGCGUGUAGGCGGCCCGGUAAGUCCGCUGUAAAAGUCAAAGGCUCAACCUUUGAAUGUCAGUGGAUACUGCCGGGCUAGAGUCCGGAAGAGGCGAGUGGAACUCCUGGUGUAGCGGUGGAAUGCGCAGAUAUCAGGAAGAACACCAACGGCGAAGGCAGCUCGCUAGGACGGUACUGACGCUGAGACGCGAAAGCGUGGGGAGCGAACAGG
rnacentral:rRNA from 1 species